UUCAGCUCAGCACUGACACUGUCUGCCAUUACAGGUUCCAGGCAAAACGAACUCCCUGUGGUUGCGCAGUCACACCCCGCACUUCUUCCCUCUAUUCCUUCGCGAGCACUCCCCCCGCCCCCCCGGAAGGCUGGGCUUCCUCCUCUCCGUAGCCUGCCCUGGCCUGGGCCGCCCCACUUUGGACUCUGAACUACCACCGGUGCUCCAUUUCUGUCACUUACGGCACAUGCUACCUUUUUUUGCUUGGUGCUGUAAAUGUCAGUACUGCGUUCAUAACAUCACCUCUUCCUAAGGUACUGUGAUUAUCCCCACUGUAGAGAUAAGGAAGUUGAGGCUGAGAGAGUCACAGAACUUGCCCAAGGGCAUCAUCACGGAGUGCGAAGCUGAGCUGCAGGCCCAGAAAUGAACAAGUUGAUCCUAAAAUUCAUAUGGAAAUGCAAGGGACCCAGAAUAGCCAAAACGAUCUUGCAAAAGAAGUACAAAGUUGGAGGGCUCACACUUCCCAAUUCAGAAACUUACUACCAAGCUGCAGUAAUCAAGACAGGGUGAUACUGGCAUUAAGACAGACAUGUAGAUCAAUGGAAAGAAAGUCUAGAAAUACACCUAUAAAUCUAUUAUCAAAUGAUUUUUGAGAGGGAUGCCAAGACUCUUGUGGGGAGAGAAUAAUCUUUUCAGUAAAUGAUGUUGGGACUUAGAAGAAAACCGGUCUACAUCGUCAUGACCUUGGACUGGGCAACAGUUUCUUAGACAUGACAUCAAAAGCACAAGCAACCAAAGGAAAAAUAGAGUACACUUCAUCAAAAAUAAAAAUGUUUGUGUGUCAAAGGACACGAUCAAGAAAGUGAAAAGACAACCCACAGAAUGGGAAAAACUCUUUGCAAAUCAUAUAUAAGACAAGGGGCUGGUACUCAGAACAUAUGAAAAACUCUUACAACUCAAUAAUAAAAAGACAAGACAAUUUAAAAACACACAAAGGAUUUGAAUGGAUCUUUAUCCAAAGAAAAUAUACAAGUGGCCAAUAAGUGGCCAUCUUUCACAAGAGAAGAUGCUCAACAUCGUUAGUCAGUCAUUACGGAGAUGCAUAUUAAAAACCACUGUGAAGGGGCUUCCCUGGUGGCGCAGUGGUUGAGAGUCCGCCUGCCGAUGCAGGGGACGCGGGUUCGUGCCCCGGUCCGGGAGGAUCCCACGUGCCGCGGAGCGGCUGGGCCCGUGGGCCAUGGCCGCUGGGCCUGCGCGUCCGGAGCCUGUGCUCCGCAAUGGGAGAGGCC